GAGGAAAAGAAAUCAACCGAGAUUCCCCCAGUAGCGGCGAGCGAACGGGGAGCAGCCCAGAGCCUGAAUCAGUAUGUGUGUUAGUGGAAGCGUCUGGAAAGGCGCGCGAUACAGGGUGACAGCCCCGUACACAAAAAUGCACAUGCUGUGAGCUCGAUGAGUAGGGCGGGACACGUGGUAUCCUGUCUGAAUAUGGGGGGACCAUCCUCCAAGGCUAAAUACUCCUGACUGACCGAUAGUGAACCAGUACCGUGAGGGAAAGGCGAAAAGAACCCCGGCGAGGGGAGUGAAAAAGAACCUGAAACCGUGUACGUACAAGCAGUGGGAGCACGCUUAGGCGUGUGACUGCGUACCUUUUGUAUAAUGGGUCAGCGACUUAUAUUCUGUAGCAAGGUUAACCGAAUAGGGGAGCCGAAGGGAAACCGAGUCUUAACUGGGCGUUAAGUUGCAGGGUAUAGACCCGAAACCCGGUGAUCUAGCCAUGGGCAGGUUGAAGGUUGGGUAACACUAACUGGAGGACCGAACCGACUAAUGUUGAAAAAUUAGCGGAUGACUUGUGGCUGGGGGUGAAAGGCCAAUCAAACCGGGAGAUAGCUGGUUCUCCCCGAAAGCUAUUUAGGUAGCGCCUCGUGAAUUCAUCUCCGGGGGUAGAGCACUGUUUCGGCAAGGGGGUCAUCCCGACUUACCAACCCGAUGCAAACUGCGAAUACCGGAGAAUGUUAUCACGGGAGACACACGGCGGGUGCUAACGUCCGUCGUGAAGAGGGAAACAACCCAGACCGCCAGCUAAGGUCCCAAAGUCAUGGUUAAGUGGGAAACGAUGUGGGAAGGCCCAGACAGCCAGGAUGUUGGCUUAGAAGCAGCCAUCAUUUAAAGAAAGCGUAAUAGCUCACUGGUCGAGUCGGCCUGCGCGGAAGAUGUAACGGGGCUAAACCAUGCACCGAAGCUGCGGCAGCGACGCUGAUGCGUUGUUGGGUAGGGGAGCGUUCUGUAAGCCUGCGAAGGUGUGCUGUGAGGCAUGCUGGAGGUAUCAGAAGUGCGAAUGCUGACAUAAGUAACGAUAAAGCGGGUGAAAAGCCCGCUCGCCGGAAGACCAAGGGUUCCUGUCCAACGUUAAUCGGGGCAGGGUGAGUCGACCCCUAAGGCGAGGCCGAAAGGCGUAGUCGAUGGGAAACAGGUUAAUAUUCCUGUACUUGGUGUUACUGCGAAGGGGGGACGGAGAAGGCUAUGUUGGCCGGGCGACGGUUGUCCCGGUUUAAGCGUGUAGGCUGGUUUUCCAGGCAAAUCCGGAAAAUCAAGGCU
rnacentral:rRNA from 1 species